ACUGUUGCGAUCGGGGGCAUUCUGGCGAAGCGCAUCUCGGAUGCUGCCGGUGCGAAUGGUGUUUUUGGGUUGUUUCGUUCCGUGAGCUUUUGGAUCACAGGGGGCAUUGCGGCGAUGGCAACGAAACAGCUAUUUG
rnacentral:ribozyme from 1 species